rnacentral:rRNA from 1 species
GUGGGGAAUUUUGGACAAUGGGCGAAAGCCUGAUCCAGCCAUGCCGCGUGCAGGAUGAAGGCCUUCGGGUUGUAAACUGCUUUUGUACGGAACGAAAAGACUCCUUCUAAUAAAGGGGGUCCAUGACGGUACCGUAAGAAUAAGCACCGGCUAACUACGUGCCAGCAGCCGCGGUAAUACGUAGGGUGCAAGCGUUAAUCGGAAUUACUGGGCGUAAAGCGUGCGCAGGCGGUUAUAUAAGACAGAUGUGAACACCCCGGGCUCAACCUGGGAACUGAAUUUGUGACUGUAUAGCUAGAGUACGGUAGAGGGGGAUGGAAUUCCGCGUGUAGCAGUGAAAUGCGUAGAUAUGCGGAGGAACACCGAUGGCGAAGGCAAUCCCCUGGACCUGUACUGACGCUCAUGCACGAAAGCGUGGGGAGCAAACAGGAUUAGAUACCCGUGUAGUCC